GGGGGAUUGGGCUAGCCUGGCUAUGCUUCCAGCUUUGGGAGCUGGAGACCUGAGUUCGAAUCUCAGAUCCCCCA
rnacentral:tRNA from 1 species